rnacentral:rRNA from 1 species
CCCUUAGAUGUUCUGGGCUGCACGCGCGCUACACUGAUGCGCUCAACGAGUUUACGACCUUGCUUGGAAAGGUUGGGUAAUCUUCUUAAAACGCAUCGUGAUGGGGAUAGAUUAUUGCAAUUAUUAAUCUUCAACGAGGAAUUCCUAGUAAGCGCGAGUCAUCAGCUCGUGCUGAUUACGUCCCUGCCCUUUGUACACACCGCCCGUCGCUCCUACCGAUUGAGUGCUGCGGUGAAUAAUUCGGACUGCAGCAACGUUCGGUUCCUGAAUGUUGCAGUGGAAAGUUUAUUGAACCUUAUCACUUAGAGGAAGGAGAAGUCGUAACA